AUACGGAGGGUGCAAGCGUUAAUCGGAAUUACUGGGCGUAAAGGGCGCGUAGGCGGAUUAUCAAGUCAGAGGUGAAAGCCCUGGGCUCAACCUAGGAACUGCCUUUGAAACUGAUAGUCUUGAGUCCGAGAGAGGAUGGCGGAAUUCCCAGUGUAGAGGUGAAAUUCGUAGAUAUUGGGAAGAACACCAGUGGCGAAGGCGGCUACCUGGACGGGUACUGACGCUGAGGCGCGAAAGCGUGGGGAGCAAACAGGAUUAGAAACCCCAGUAGUCC
rnacentral:rRNA from 1 species